GAUGAACGCUGACAGAAUGCUUAACACAUCAGCAAUUGAUUGGUGCCGGCCGGGUACGUAACGCUUAAAUAUCUUGCCUCACACCUUGGGACAACAUUUCGAAAUGAAUGCUAAUCCCUGAUACUUUGUGAGAGCUUUGCGUCCCAUUAGCUAGUUGGAGAGGUAACAGCUCACCAAGGCGAUGAUGGGUAGCCGGCCUGGGAGGGUGAACGGCCACAAGGGGACAUAGAAACGGCCCGUACUACUACGGGAGGCAGCAGUGGAGAAUAGUGGACAAUGGACCGAAGUCUGAUCCAGGAAUUCGGUGUGCACGAUGAAGUUUUCGGAAUGUAAAGUGCUUUCAGUUGGGAAGCGUUACCAACAGAAGAAGUGACGGCUAAAUACGUGCCAGCAGCCGCGGUAAUUC
rnacentral:rRNA from 1 species